rnacentral:rRNA from 1 species
GGUAACAGAAAGUAGCUUGCUACUUUGCUGACGAGCGGCGGACGGGUGAGUAAUGCUUGGGAACAUGCCUUGAGGUGGGGGACAACAGUUGGAAACGACUGCUAAUACCGCAUAAUGUCUACGGACCAAAGGGGGCUUCGGCUCUCGCCUUUAGAUUGGCCCAAGUGGGAUUAGCUAGUUGGUGAGGUAAUGGCUCACCAAGGCGACGAUCCCUANACUGGUUUGAGAGGAUGAUCAGCCACACUGGGACUGAGACACGGCCCAGACUCCUACGGGAGGCAGCAGUGGGGAAUAUUGCACAAUGGGCGCAAGCCUGAUGCAGCCAUGCCGCGUGUGUGAAGAAGGCCUUCGGGUUGUAAAGCACUUUCAGUCAGGAGGAAAGGUUAGUAGUUAAUACCUGCUAGCUGUGACGUUACUGACAGAAGAAGCACCGGCUAACUCCGUGCCAGCAGCCGCGGUAAUACGGAGGGUGCGAGCGUUAAUCGGAAUUACUGGGCGUAAAGCGUACGCAGGCGGUUUGUUAAGCGAGAUGUGAAAGCCCCGGGCUCAACCUGGGAACUGCAUUUCGAACUGGCAAACUAGAGUGUGAUAGAGGGU